ACGAACGCUGGCGGCGUGCCUAACACAUGCAAGUCGAGCGGGGAUUUAAGUGGAAGUUCUUCGGAAUGGAGAUUUAAAUUCUAGCGGCGGACGGGUGAGUAACGCGUGAACAAUCUGUCCCGGACAGGGGGAUAACACUUGGAAACAGGUGCUAAUACCGCAUAAGACCACGGCCUCGCAUGGGGCUGAGGUAAAAGGAGCAAUCCGGCUCGGGGUGAGUUCGCGUCCGAUUAGCUAGUUGGUGAGGUAACGGCCCACCAAGGCGACGAUCGGUAGCCGGCCUGAGGGGGUGAACGGCCACAUUGGAACUGAGAGACGGUCCAAACUCCUACGGGAGGCAGCAGUGGGGAAUAUUGGGCAAUGGGCGAAAGCCUGACCCAGCAACGCCGCGUGAGGGAAGAAGGUUUUCGGAUUGUAAACCUCUGUCCUAUGGGACGAAGGAAGUGACGGUACCAUAGGAGGAAGCCCCGGCUAACUACGUG
rnacentral:rRNA from 1 species